ACUGCUGUUUGCUCAGGCAAGGAGCUUGACUCAGAUGUUGAUGUGUAUUAUGUUUUUUUAUCUUGCAGGCCAGAGCCUUAUGAGACCUUUUUUCCUCCCUCAAUAUACACAAACAGCAACAGAGCCCAGUGUGGCUAAAAUGGUUGCUGUCAUUAGAUGUGAGGGAUGCUCUGCUGCACUAUUGAAUGUCAGGCAUGCUGCUAUAAAGAGGCUGUGCAACAGUUUUAUCACUGAGAGGCAGCAUGUGUGGAAUACUAAGAGAUACAGCUCCUGAUGAAUUUACCUCGGUCCUACCAUUUUGAAUACUGCUGUUCACUGUUUUACCUCCAUUCUCUAAAAAUCCUGUCUUCAUUCAUGAUCAACCACUGUGUUUUGUGAUAGGAAUCGUUCCAGUUAGGUUUGGCUAUGUCUGUCAGCUUGCCUCCAGGUACCGUUACUCUCACCCAGUUCUCUGUGCAAUAAAUGUGACCUUUAAAGCCCUCUUCUAA